rnacentral:rRNA from 1 species
AUACAGAGGAUCCGAGCGUUAUCCGGAUUUAUUGGGUUUAAAGGGUGCGCAGGCGGGAGAUUAAGUCGGCGGUGAAAUUUUGCAGCUCAACUGUAAAAGUGCCUUCGAAACUGGUUUCCUUGAGUGUAGAUGAAGUAGGCGGAAUUUGUGGUGUAGCGGUGAAAUGCAUAGAUAUCACGAGGAACUCCGAUUGCGCAGGCAGCUUACUAAACUACUACUGACGCUCAGGCACGAAGGCGUGGGGAUCAAACAGGAUUAGAUACCCUGGUAGUCCACGCAGUAAACGAUGAUUACUAGCUGUUUGCGAUACAAUGUAAGCGGCUGAGCGAAAGCGUUAAGUAAUCCACCUGGGGAGUACGUUCGCAAGAAUGAAACUCAAAUGAAUUGACGGGG